ensembl:processed_transcript
UUGUAGGCAAAACCGGAGCACCCAGAGAAAACCCACGCAAACGCAGGGAGAAUUUGCAAACUCCACACAGAAAUGCCAGCUGAUCCAGCCGAGGCUCGAGUCAGCAUCCUUGCUGUAAGGCGACAGCACUACCUAUUGUGCCACCACGUCACGCUCUUAUUAAAUUAUAUUUAUAUAAUAUAUUGUGUUUCAGUACAUGCUAUUUUGGGAAGACAAAAUAUAUUCAUAAGCUCUCAGAAAAUUCAAUAAGAGAAUUAACUGCACAAUUACUUGAAAUGCGUGGAUGGGAUUACAUUAUUUGUUAACCCAAAGUGAGUUUCUCUUUCUUUGCAGUAUUGGAUGCCUGAUUGCAGUUCAACUCCAAACUCAGUUGGACCAGCUGAUCAGUGUCUUCAGUAUUACCACAAGCUACUGGGCAGAUGUGUGGACACGACAGCUAUGAGCCAGACUUGGGACGUUUGGUUUUUAGCAGGUGGAGAGACCGUCUGGGCAGCAGAAACAAGACAACUAAUCAUAUUUAGAUACAAUCAAAUGUCCAAACCAUCUCUGAGUGAAUGACAUCAAGGAAACAGGAUCAAAAGAUCAUUCAUUAUAGACCGUUUCAUAGUUGGUUAUAUUUUUCAGGUCAUUCUGUUCUCCUGGUUGUGAGCAUGUGCAGAGGCUGUAUUUGUCAGUGUUAAAAGACUAUCCAGACAUACAAGCAGCCGACAAAGAGUUCUGGAGCAGGACAGACAGGGCAGCACGGUGGCGCAGAGGGUAGCACGUUUGCCUCACAGCAAGAAGGUCGCUGCUUCGAGCUUCGGCUGGAUUGGUGUACGCUGAUGGUCUGCUGAGAAUUCUCCGGAGUUGAAGGGAUCCUCCUGUCAGACAACCUCUCCAAAGUACAAUAGGACUAGGUUCCCACUACAAGGAUUAGAUUUGGCUACUGCAGUCCCGGUUUGGGCCAGCCUCACUUGUGAAGACUAAAGAUGAAGACAACAUACAAGAACAAUUUAGAGGAUGGCGACACACUUUUUAUUCCACCUAUAUAUCCCCUUUUAUGUGUAAGCAAAAUUCCACAAGAUAAAACAAAACUAAAUGACAGGUUGUUUCUUUUAAUUUUAUCGGUUUUCUUGGAACAUUGUACACAAUUUACAACCAGUUAUAUAUAUAUAUAUAUAUAUAUAUAUAUAUAUAUAUAUAUAUAUAUAUAUAUAUAUAUAUAUAUAUAUAUAGGUCAGAGCAAGAAAAUGUUAUGUUUUCUUCUGGAGAAAGUCUUAUUUCUUUUAUUUAUAUUUUAGUUUUGAAUUAAAAAAAAAAAACAUUUUAAGGUCAAUAUUAUCAGCCUCUUUAAGCAAUUUUUUUCGACUGUCUACAGAACAAACCAUCGAUAUACAAUAACUUGCCUAAUUACCCUAACCUGCCUAGUUAAGCCUCUAAAUGUCACUUUAAGCUGUAUAGAAGUGUCUUGAAGAAUAUCUAGUCAAAUAUUAUUUACUCAGUUAUUAGAAAUGAGUUAUUAAAACUAUUGUGAUUAGAAAUGUGUUAAAAAAUAUUUCCGUUAAACAGAAAUUAAGGGAUUAUAUAUAUAUAUAUAUAUAUAUAAUCCCUUAAUUUCUGUUUAACGGAAAUAUUUUUAUAUACAAUAUAUAUAUAUAUAUAUAUAUAUAUAUAUAUAUAUAUAUAUAUAUAUAUAUAUAUAUAUAGAAUGACAAAAUCUGUUUUGUGUCGUGCAUUAGUUUGCUUAAAAAAACUGGUUAUCUCUGAGAAAGUAUUGUUAUUUUAUAAUAUUGAUGUGUUAUUAGUUCAUAGGAGAUUUCAAAUUGUUGAAUGCCAUUUAUAAAAAAAAUUGUACUACAGACUUUAAUAAGAUUUUAUCAGACAAUUAUUUUAAUUUGUAUGAUUUUAUUUACUACUGUAAAUAUUGUUUGCUUGGUAUUUAUUUUGUGUUUGUGUUCUCUUUUAUUAUUGUAACUCCCUGAAGAAAGUCUUUUGGAUACUGAACACAUGACUGGAAUUAUCUUGUAUUUUAAAAUUAUAGUCUUGGAAAUAUGCAUUUUCUUUAACACUAUUUAAGAAAUUAUAAGCAUUAUAACAUGUGCUUACACACGUUAUUUGUGUUUUUACUAUAGUAAACUAUAGUCACCCUUAGUGUACAUCUUUUGAAGUACUUGUAAAUAUUCCUAUGGUCUUAAUAUAAAUGCUGCAAUGAACUUUGUAUUUAAAAUCUUUAUUGCACAGUAGCUUAGCCAUGGUUAUAGUACAACUUGUUGGUUUUGUUUUAAACGUGGUGGUUAUGUGUGAUAAAAGUAUGUUAAUCUAUUUGUAUGUUUGUGAAAAUAUUAAUAAAUCUUCAACUGUUA